GUAUCAAUUGGAGGGCAAGUCUGGUGCCAGCAGCCGCGGUAAUUCCAGCUCCAAUAGCGUAUAUUAAAAUUGUUGCAGUUAAAAAGCUCGUAGUUGAAUUUCUGCUGCAUUGUCGAGUCCCUCCGGGGUCUUGGCACGUGGCUUUUUUCGGACGGUUCGCUGUCUGGAUGUUUACUUUGAGAAAAUUAGAGUGCUCAAAGCAGGCUUUUGCCUUGAAUAGUUUAGCAUGGAAUAAUAAAGUAGGACUUUGGUUCUAUUUUGUUGGUUUUAGGUACCAAAGUAAUGGUUAAUAGGAACAGUUGGGGGCAUUCGUAUUUAACUGUCAGAGGUGAAAUUCUUAGAUUUGUUAAAGACGAACUACUGCGAAAGCAUUUGCCAAGGAUGUUUUCAUUAAUCAAGAACGAAAGUUAGGGGAUCGAAG
rnacentral:rRNA from 1 species